rnacentral:tRNA from 1 species
GCCCCCGUAGCUCAGGGGAUAGAGCGGCCGCCUCCUAAGCGGCAGGUCACAGGUUCGAAUCCUGUCGGGGGCACCA